rnacentral:misc_RNA from 1 species
AAAAUGAGAUGGAUGAGUUCCAUAGUCGUGCCAAGAAUGUUGGAUAUGAUUAUGUUCUUGUAACUGAUGACAAUAACUACCAGCUUCUGAUGCAUUAACUAUAGCCACCCUGUGAUUUUCCAGCUGGAUUAUCCUAUCAGGCUUAGCAGUCAGCACUCCAUCCGUUUGGGGCGAUUGCGGAUGGAAAAAUACACCAUUGCCUCCAUUUCUAUAGGAGCGAGCUGUUAUAUGCUAUAAAGUGAAGUGAAGAGGGAAAUUUUAUGUUUUCUGAUUUGUGGUUCUUUCGCCAUUUUUGUAAUAUAUGAUUAAAGUUUUACGUGCGCUAAAAGAUAAGUGGUGGUAUCAUAUAACAUUUGACAAAUUUAACUAAGGCAAAGCAAUACAUAUGCGGUUGGAUGCAACAGACUAUGACGUUGUAUAUUGAAGAAGCCGAGUGGAGAAAAUCUUGUUCUAGGAGAAUCUUUUUUAUUUUCAUGAUAUCCGCCUAUUGUGGGUGCAGGAGCAACCUGAAAUCUCCUGAAGGCCUAUAUUAGCCUCCGCAAACCCUGACAUUUUAAUUAUGAAUUUUGCAUUAAGAUAAAUAUUAUUUGUAUUUCGCAGUGAGGUACAAAGUUUUCGUUUGUUUAUACAAUUUUCUUAUGUUUCAA